UUUGUGAGGAAACCCUGACUGCUGAUUAAAUUUGUAUUGACAUGACUGCAUUCUGUAUUAACAAGAAAACAGCUACUUCAGGCCCCUGAAUCACAUCUUUUCCUCUGCUCUUUCUUUAAGAAUUUCAUGAAGCUACGGGAUGGAUGAGUGAAAGCUGAUAACUGUAACUUAAGCAUCAUCUUACUGGGAACAUGCUUAAUCUGCCAAAAGCUCUGCUGAACUCUGACUGCAAACCAUUCCAAAGCCCCAAUUUCUCAUGCAAACGUCUCAUGACCUCAGGUGAUGCAGUGCCCCUGCAAUCUCUGUCAACUGAUGGAUCACUGCUGCAACUGGACAAUAAUGCUGGAAGGUUCUGGAACCAAGCAAUUGGGCUUUGCUUGCUGCAGGUGCUCUCCACAGCUGUGGUCCUUUGAGCUAACCAGCUCCUCCAUCCCCUUCUCUCUUAUUCCAUCUCUUCUCAGGUUUUGGCAAAUUUUCCUCACCCUUCURGCUUUUAGGCAGUGCUGAUAAUAGAACAGGAACAGGAUUCAUUUAUCCUUUUAUCACAAAGCUCUUUAAAGCCUGAAAAGGAUGGACUUCAAAGGCAGGAAAAUGGGACACGGUGCAGGUGAACAGGGGAGAAGGGUGUGUGUUCAAUGAGCUCUUCUCCAUGCAAGCAAAGAAAGCCAUUUCUGGCUGCCUUCUCUAAUGUUGUGCUCCAAUUGCAAGGGCAAAUGCCAAAUGGGAUAGAUCUCAGUUAAAAGGGAAGUUUAGAGCUGAGCUAUUAGAAAGGCAAGAGCGGCUGGG